UCUAUUUAGCUGGAAUGAGUAAAAUAAACUUGAAUAACUUAAAAAAGAGAAAAAAAAAAAGAAAAAAGAAUGGCUUUCUCCUUACAGAAAAACUUGGUCUUUUUUAUGCUCAGAUAAUUAAUAUCCUCACAAGGGUAAUGGCUGUCAUAAUUGCUAUAUGACGUACAGUCCUAGAGGUCUAUCCCAAUGUGAGAAUUAUAUAAUUUACAUUUUCAGAGAGAAAACUGCAGAGGAAUUUCAGGGAGUUUCUGUUCAGUUCUUUGGAUCAGAAUAACCCAAUCAGGUUUAAAGUGAGGAUGGACAGAUAUUGAAAUGCCCAACUUAUUGUACCUAGGUGCCAAAGGAGAUGAUGGAAAUGUCAAAAGGUAAUUGGACAAUUACACCCACCUCCCAGCUGAAAAUGUGUGACUUUGUGAGCUUGAAUGACAAGCUUUGACUCAAUACUGGCAUUGCCUGUGGGGAAUGAGCCCCUUGGAACAAAGAGGAAAAAAGACCAAGAUGGAAAAAAAAUUUUGAAUUAGCCACUAGCAGCCCCAGGAAGUGAAAAAUUAUUAUGUGAUAACAACGUGAGGUAUAAGGCAAGAGAGAACUUAUUUCAUUUCUACUCAAGUAUAAGAUGCCCUUUAUUCCAUUUGAUAUAGACUUAGAAAGCAGGGGUCAUUUUGGACUUGAAAUUUAGUGUCUGAAGGAACUCACAUUUAUCAUUAUUCAAGACCCUGGAUGUAGGCAGCUGGAUUAAGAGGACUCUUCUGUGGUUAGGAGAGAAUUUGGGGAAUUUCUUGCAGGUGCCAUUUUACCCAGACCAGUCUGUAUUUUAGCUGCUAGCCUUUUUGCUUGUUUGUUUGUUUGUUUGUUUGUUUUCAGCAAAAGCAUAACCAUCUUUGGGCAGUAAUCUGAAAUAAUUUAGUACAGAAAAAGAGAUUGAGUGUAUUUUUUGAGAGUGAGAGUCAGCAUGGGUAAGAAAUCAGUAUUCUCACCUGGGCUCAAGUUUAGCUAGAAUGCUAAAUUUAUAUAUAGUCUUUUCUUACCAGAAAUACCAGCUUACUCAGUUUACUGUACAGAGAUUGGAGUUUUACCUGAAGAAAAUAGUCUCUG